AGUCCAGACUCCUACGGGAGGCAGCAGUGGGGAAUAUUGCACAAUGGGGGAAACCCUGAUGCAGCAACGCCGCGUGAGUGAAGAAGUCAUUCGUGAUGUAAAGCUCUAUCAGCAGGGAAGAAAAUGACGGUACCUGAGUAAGAAGCCCCGGCUAACUACGUGCCAGCAGCCGCGGUAAUACGUAGGGGGCAAGCGUUAUCCGGAUUUAUUGGGUUUAAAGGGUGCGUAGGCGGACUGGAAAGUCAGCGGUAAAAUCGAGGGGCUCAACCUCUUUCCGCCGUUGAAACUGUCGGUCUUGAGUGGGCGAGAAGUAUGCGGAAUGCGUGGUGUAGCGGUGAAAUGCAUAGAUAUCACGCAGAACUCCGAUUGCGAAGGCAGCAUACCGGCGCCCGACUGACGCUGAGGCACGAAAGCGUGGGUAUCGAACAGGAUUAGAUACCCGAGUA
rnacentral:rRNA from 1 species